rnacentral:precursor_RNA from 9 species
UGUGAAUGUGAAGAAUUCCUCUGGUGGCCCUCAGCUGUCAUGAUGCCUUCUUGUUGUUGAGACAAAGAAGCCAUUAUGACAAUUGGUGGACAGCAGAGACACAGACUAGCUGUUCCAU